rnacentral:rRNA from 1 species
UAUUAUGGAGAGUUUGAUCCUGGCUCAGGACGAACGCUGGCGGCAUGCCUAAUACAUGCAAGUCGAGCGAACUGUUGGAAGCUUGCUUCCUUCAGUUAGCGGCGGACGGGUGAGUAACACGUGGGCA